GGGACAAUCAAUUUAAAGAUAAGUAAUUGAAUAAGUAAAUAAUACAGUACAUAAUUCUAACACACAUCAAGGGAUAAAGGGAUUAUGGGAUUUAGUGCUGCAAAAAUAAGUGCUAUGUUAAAGUUUUUAAUUUAAAAAAAUAUGAAAAUAUGAAAAACAAAACCAGAUUUUUGUUAUUGCACUUCCUCCUCGUGUUAGGGUUAAGGUUAGGGUUGAGGAUAGGGUUAGAGUUGAACCAGGAUAUGGACAUGAAGCUAGGGUCAGGGUUAGGGUUGAGGAUAGGGUUAGAGUUGAACCAGGAUAUGGACAUGAAGCUAGGGUCAGGGUUAGGGUUGAGGAUAGGGUUAGAGUUGAACCAGGAUAUGGACAUGACGCUAGGGUCAGGGUUAGGGUUGAGGAUAGGGUUAGAGUUGAACCAGGAUAUGGACAUGACGCUAGGGUCAGGGUUAGGGUUGAGGAUAGGGUUAGAGUUGAACCAGGAUAUGGACAUGACGCUAGGGUUAAGGUUAGGGUUGAGGAUAGGGUUAGAGUUGAACCAGGAUAUGGACAUGACACUAGGGUCAGGGUUAGGGUUGAGGAUAGGGUUAGAGUUGAACCAGGAUAUGGACAUGAAGCUAGGGACAGGGUUAGGGUUGAGGAUAGGGUUAGAGUUGAACCAGGAUAUGGACAUGAAGCUAGGGUCAGGGUUAGGUUUGAGGAUAGGGAUAGGGUUAGAGUUGAACCAGGAUAUGGACAUGAAGCUAGGGUCAGGGUUAGGUUUAAAGCUAGGGUUAGAGUUGAACCAGGAUUUGGACAUGAUGCUAGGGUUAUGGUUGUGGUUGUGGCUAUGGUGAGGGUUGAACCAGGAUGUGGACAUGAAGCUAAGUUUUGGAUUAGGGUCGUGGUUGAGGCUAGGGUUAGGGUUGGGCUAACGCUUAGGGCUGUGGUUGAGUCUAGGGUUAUGAUUGAAGCGGGAUGUGGACAGGAAGCUAGGGUUAGGGUUGGAGUAAUGCUUAGGGCUGUGGUUUAUUCUAGGGUUAUGAUUGAAGCGGGAUGUGGACAUGAAGCUAGGGUUAGGUUAGGGGUAACGCUUAGGGCUGUGUUUGAGUCUAGGGUUAGGUUUGAGGCUAG
rnacentral:lncRNA from 1 species